UACGUAGGGUGCGAGCGUUAAUCGGAAUUACUGGGCGUAAAGCGCGCGUAGGCGGCUGUCUAAGUCGGGUGUGAAAGCCCCGGGCUCAACCUGGGAACUGCAUUCGAUACUGGACGGCUAGAGUAUGAAAGAGGGAGGUAGAAUUCCACGUGUAGCGGUGAAAUGCGUAGAUAUGUGGAGGAAUACCGGUGGCGAAGGCGGCCUCCUGGUUCAAUACUGACGCUGAGGUGCGAAAGCGUGGGGAGCAAACAGG
rnacentral:rRNA from 1 species